AUACAAAGAUAGAUGAUCAAGAUAGCACUCCCAGGACUUAAAUCAAUAUAAAACUUAGCUUUUAAUCUUCUUUGCAAAGAAGAUUAAAAGUUAAGUUUUAUAUUGAUUUAAGUCCUGGGAGUGCUAUCUUGAUCAUCUAUCUUUGUAU